rnacentral:tRNA from 3 species
GCCGAAGUGGCGGAAUUGGCAGACGCAGCGGAUUCAAAAUCCGCCGAGGUAAAAUCUCGUGUGGGUUCGAGUCCCACCUUCGGUACCA